rnacentral:rRNA from 1 species
UACGAAGGGGGCUAGCGUUGUUCGGAAUCACUGGGCGUAAAGGGCGCGUAGGCGGUAGCACAAGUCAGUUGUGAAAUCUCCGGGCUUAACUCGGAAAGGUCAACUGAUACUGUGCGACUAGAGUGCAGAAGGGGCAACUGGAAUUCUCGGUGUAGCGGUGAAAUGCGUAGAUAUCGAGAGGAACAUCUGCGGCGAAGGCGGGUUGCUGGGCUGACACUGACGCUGAGGCGCGAAAGCCAGGGGAGCGAACGGG